UACGUAGGGCGCAAGCGUUGUCCGGAAUUAUUGGGCGUAAAGAGCUCGUAGGCGGUUUGUCGCGUCUGCUGUGAAAGCCCGGGGCUCAACCCCGGGUCUGCAGUGGGUACGGGCAGACUAGAGUGCAGUAGGGGAGACUGGAAUUCCUGGUGUAGCGGUGGAAUGCGCAGAUAUCAGGAGGAACACCGAUGGCGAAGGCAGAUCUCUGGGCCGUAACUGACGCUGAGGAGCGAAAGCAUGGGGAGCGAACGGGG
rnacentral:rRNA from 1 species